AAGUCGUAACAAGGUUUCCGUAGGUGAACCUGCGGAAGGAUCAUUACCAAAUCCCCCUAAUUUUUGCACCUGUGAACUGUAUCCAUGUCUUUGGGGGUAGUACGAUGGCUGUGCAAACGGUCAUUGGUCUCCCCCAAAAGGAAUAACACCCACCUUAGGUUGGAGUGCUUUCCUCACUAGAACACCUUUAAACUUUGAUGGAUUGUUUUUCAAACGAUUAACAAAGACAACUUUUAACGGUGGAUCUCUUGGCUCGU
rnacentral:misc_RNA from 1 species